AUUGAACGCUGGCGGCAGGCCUAACACAUGCAAGUCGAGCGGAUGAAGGGAGCUUGCUCCUGGAUUCAGCGUCGGACGGGUGAGUAAUGCCUAGGAAUCUGCCUGGUAGUGGGGGAUAACGUCCGGAAACGGGCGCUAAUACCGCAUACGUCCUGAGGUAGAAAGUGGGGGAUCUUCGGACCUCACGCUAUCAGAUGAGCCUAGGUCGGAUUGGCUAGUUGGUGGGGUAAAGGCCUCCCAAGGCGACGAUCCGUAACUGGUCUGAGAGGAUGAUCAGUCACACUGGAACGGAGACACGGUACAGACUCCUACGGGAGGCAGCAGUGGGGAAGGGUGGACAAUGGGCGAAAGCCUGAUCCAGCCAUGCCGCGUGUGUGAAGAAGGUCUUCGGAUUGGAAAGCACUCUUAGUUGGGAGGAAGGGCAGUACGUUAAUACCUUGCUGUUUUGACGUUACCAACAGAAGAAGCACCGGCUAACUUCGUG
rnacentral:rRNA from 1 species